CGUUAGGUCCGACCUUGAGAUGGGUUGAAUUCGGUCACACCUUGGACCUGAGACACGGACCACGACUCUUACCGGAGGCAGGCAGUAAGGGAUCUCGCAAUGACGAAAGUCUGACGAGCACCGCGCGUGACGAAGGAAGGGUUUUCGGGAUCGUAAAGUCUGUUGUUAGGGAAGAACAAGUACCGUUCAAAUAGGGCGGUACCUUGACGGUACCUAUCGAGGAAAGCCCCGGCUAACUACGUGCCAGCAGCCCGCGGUAAUACGUAGGGGGCAAGCGUUGUCCGGAAUUAUUGGGCGUAAAGCGCGCGUAGGCGGUUUCUUAAGUCUGAUGUGAAAUCUUGCGGCUCAACCGCAAGCGGUCAUUGGAAACUGGGGAACUUGAGUGCAGAAGAGGAGAGCGGAAUUCCACGUGUAGCGGUGAAAUGCGUAGAUAUGUGGAGGAACACCAGUGGCGAAGGCGGCUCUCUGGUCUGUAACUGACGCUGAGGUGCGAAAGCGUGGGGAGCGAACAGGAUUAGAUACCCUGGUAGUCCACGCCGUAAACGAUGAGUGCUAGGUGUUAGGGGGUUUCCGCCCCUUAGUGCUGCAGUUAACGCAAUAAGCACUCCGCCUGGGGAGUACGGCCGCAAGGCUGAAACUCAAAAGAAUUGACGGGGGCCCGCACAAGCGGUGGAGCAUGUGGUUUAAUUCGAAGCAACGCGAAGAACCUUACCAGGUCUUGACAUCUUCGGAUGUCCCUAGAGAUAGGGAGUUCCCUUCGGGGACCGAAUGACAGGUGGUGCAUGGUUGUCGUCAGCUCGUGUCGUGAGAUGUUGGGUUAAGUCCCGCAACGAGCGCAACCCUUGAUCUUAGUUGCCAGCAUUAAGUUGGGCACUCUAAGGUGACUGCCGGUGACAAACCGGAGGAAGGUGGGGAUGACGUCAAAUCAUCAUGCCCCUUAUGACCUGGGCUACACACGUGCUACAAUGGAUGGAACAAAGGGCAGCGAAGCGGCAACGCAUUAGCAAAUCCCAUAAAUCCAUUCUCAGUUCGGAUUGCAGGCUGCAACUCGCCUGUAUGAAGCCGGAAUCGCUAGUAAUCGUGGAUCAGCAUGCCACGGUGAAUACGUUCCCGGGCCUUGUACACACCGCCCGUCACACCACGAGAGUUGGCAACACCCGAAGUCGGUGGGGUAACCUUGGAGCCAGCCGCCGAAGGUGUCCAGUUG
rnacentral:rRNA from 1 species